AGGUUGUAGAUCCUUUGACUCACUCUCUCGCCCUAAUCAUCAAACUAGUAAUCAGCAGUAAUCGUCAUAACAAGGAACGCACCGCCUCUUGCGUGUGUUGUAUAAUAAUAUUGGCAAUGUCAAUGAACAUGAGAUCGGUGCUUCUCACUCGGGGAUUCGUGACUCGCUUCAUGGACUCAACAUCUCGCGGUGCUUUCUCUCGUUUUUACAGCGACAAAGGUAGGGUUCUCAGCGAAGAGGAGCAGGCCAAAGAGAACGUCUACAUCCAGAAAUGGGAGAGAGAGAGGUUGGAGAAACAGAAGCAGCAAGCUGAGAAGGAAAAGGCUGAGAAGGACAAAAACGCUUCUGACAAGAAACCUGAAGGAUCUCACAAGGGAUGAGUUUGUCUGUCAUGUUUGCUAUCAAGGUCACUAGUAGUGGAAAAUAAUCAAUGGGAAAUAAAAACAUUGACUCUAAGUGGACUUUGGUCUUUGUAUAGAUUGUGUUUCGUGUUUGUUUGUAUGUUGAAAAAUGUAACCAUGCUGUCUCGUCCAUCAAGCUUCAUGAAGUUCGUUAUGAUAUGAUCCUCUUAUUUGCUUCGCGUUUGUUGGAUGUGAAUGCCAUUCUAAAUUUCUGAUCAGUAUGUGGAAAUUGUGAAAUAUUCAGUUACACUUUCGGUGUUAUAACUGUUGGGUGUGAGUAGACCAGUUGAAUAGAUGAAAGCUUCUUGUUUGAAGAAUAGGAUGAUGCUUAGGAGGAUCGAACAGCGCGGACUUGCUUUUGAUUGGUUGUAGUGUUAGGAUUGUAGAUGAUGAGUCGGUGAGAUUUGAUUUCAAAACGGUUUAUGUGAUCCUCUUAGGGAUGGCAAAAACCCCGGCGGGACGGGUAUUCGUGGGGAUUUACCUGCUGGGACCUGUUUAUUAGUUAUAUGGGGCUGGGGCGGGGGCCUUGUGGGGAUCUGUUAAACCCUGUUUAUGUGAAAAUACUAAACUGUCCCUAUUAUAUAUAUAAAACAUAUGAGAGUUGGAGCAAACCCUAAUCGUCACUUAUGUUACGCUCCUCUCUUCCGUCCUCUCCUUUCCUCAACUCAACUCUAUCACUCUCAAACCAUUUCCUCUCACGGAUUCAUCACUACCGACCGCCACCUCCUACCUUUUAGUCCCUCACCGACAACGUUAAGAUCCUCUCUUCUCAAUCUCGAUGUCACAGUUGCAGUGUGUCGUUGCCAUUAGAGCGUCUGAGCCUUUGCGCCGCUUCUCAGUUUUUGUCGUCUUUGCCAUUGGAUCGUCCGAGCCUCUGCGCUGUUUCUCAAUCUUUGCCGUCGCCGAUCUUCACCGAUCUCUGAGCCUUUACUCUUUCUUCCGAUAAGAUUCAAGUAAAUCGGAAUCUAUUACCAUUCCUAUUACAACUAUUACAGAAUGAAGAAGGCUAGAGAAUUAUGGAGAAUUAUAUUUCUAUGAUGUGAUGAAUUAUGUUUGAUUGUUUAUGAAUUAUGGAUAUAAUAUUAUGUUUAGUUGUUUUUUAAUGUAAUUUGGGAUUAUCUUUGUUUUUUUAA